rnacentral:lncRNA from 1 species
AAAUCAAUUGUAAGUCUUUUUUAACUUUUUGCUGCUGCUAGGGGACUUAGGCAAGGGGACCCUAUUUCCCCCUUCCUAUUUGCUCUGGUCAUGAAGUACUUAAGCAGAUCAUGCAACUCACUAAAGGGAAAUCCAUCAUAUCAGUUCCACCCCAGAUGUAAAAAACUGGGCAUUACUCACAUGUGCUUUCCUGAUGAUUUGAUGCUGUUUGCCAAAGGUGACACUACUUCUAUCAUAGCCUUAUCCAGAUGUUUCUCUCAAUUCUCUGAAGCAUCUGGCUUACAGGCUAACCUGAACAAGAGCUUUGUUUACUUUGGGUGGAUUGCACUGGAUAUUCAGAAAUAGAUUCUCGACCACCUUGGCUAUGAGCAAGGUGAAUUACCAUUCAAGUACCUAGGAGUCCCCUUAUCCACCAAGAAAAUCACAUUUCUCCANNNNNNNNNNNNNNNNNNNNNAAUUACCAUUCAAGUACCUAGGAGUCCCCUUGUCCACCAAGAAAAUCACAUUGCUCCAAUGGCAACCUCUAGUGGAAAGGAUCACUGCCAAGAUCACAUCAUGGACUGCCAAGACACUGUCUUAUUCUAGGAGAAUCCAACUGGUCCAAUCUGUCAUUUUUGGUAUCCAAGCUUACUGGGCACAACUGUUCAUAUUCCCUGUUAAAGUUCUGAAGAUGAUAGAAGCCACUUGUAGGAGCUUCAUUUGGUCUGGGAUGAACUCUAUCACUAGGAAAUCAUAUAUCUCCUGGGACAGAAUGUGUACCCCAAAAUCAGCAGG